ensembl:lncRNA
UGUGCUUUCGGUGACCUCGGGUUGUUUCGGUGACCUUGAAAGGAUUAUUUUCUUACUGUUUUCUUUAAUGUGGAUAUAUAUAUAUAUUGGCAUAUCUAACCCUAAACUUCAGUACUUGAACUACAUACAGUAGUGUAUAGUUACAGUCGGAUUGUACCUGAGACUACAAUUUAUUUAUUUUUCUAAAGCAAAUAGACCAAAUAUUGACUAUGUUUCAUUAAUUAAUGUUUACUGCUCUUUGUAAUAUUGUUUUUAUGUAGAAACAUUUAAUUUCAUGAUUUUGAAGGCAUUUUUUGCUCAACAGCAUUUCUUUGAAUGUGCCUAAGACUUUUUCACAGUACUGUACUUGCGGUAGUUGCAUUCAGUAGUGUACGGCUGCAUUAAGCUGUGUGAAGGUGCAUUCAGUAGUGUACGGCUGCAUUAAGCUGUGUGAAGCUGCAUUCAGUAGUGUACGGCUGCAUUCAGUAGUGUACAGCAGCUUUCAGUAGUGUACAGCUGCAUUCAGUAGUGUACAGCAGCAUUCAGUGGUGUACAGCUGCAUUCAGUAGUGUACAGCUGCAUUCAGUAGUGUACAGCUGCUUUCAGUAGUGUACAGCUGCAUUCAGAAGUGUACAGCUGCAUUCAGAAGUGUACAGCAGCUUUCAGUAGUGUACAGCAGCAUUCAGUAGUGUACAGCAGCAUUCAGUAGUGUACAGC